CGCGGUGCCUGUGUGCCUCUCUCUUUCCUCACCGGUCCUGUGUCUUAGUGAGAGCGGGUGAGGUGUCCUCGUCGCGUUUCCGCGCCACGGCGGUCACGAGUACGGCUACGAGAAAGGGAAGGGGCAGCGGCAGGAGAAGCGGCGGCGCCGGAAACGAGGCUCCGUGCGGAGGCGCGAGUGGGCGGUACUGAAGGGGCUCCCCAAGCAGAAGCCGCGUCCGUGGAGCCGGAUGGUCCACCUUCCGCGCCGGCGUCUCCUACCUUCCUCCGGGUCGUAGACCCUGUGGAAGUGGGUAGUUCCAGUGAGCAGACUGCCUAGGUGCCGUCUACAAAGUCGUCUAGUCAUGGUAGUGAUGUUCCUUCUACAUUUCGAAUACGUGUUCUACCCAGACCUGCGCAUGUCUAAGAGGUAGAGAACCGGGGCCGAAUAAGGACUACCUUCUCCUGUCUAUUUGGGUUUCCCGAACCUUAUGAUGUUGUUAAACUAUCUACUCGACUAUGAUGUACCUUAAGUCGGAGUACAGUGGUAGAUGGUAAAACUAGAAGGAGUCCAGGACGUCCUGUUUAUGCCACCUGAUGAAUCGGGGUCUAAGUAUCUUCUAAUGUGUCGAAUGCGUUUGCACACGAAGUUCUCGAAGCCGCUGUCUCACUUCGUGACCCAUUGGCAGUUGCUCGGUUUGUAUCUCGGCUAGCCGCCGAUGCUGUUACCGAGGGUUGGCGGCGCGGCGACGAGGAUAGGCAAGCCGCGUCUGACGCGCCUUCCCUUGAGAAGCUGGCUCGGUAUGUAUCGCCGAGUGGUAGAGGACGAGCGUGUGCGAAGCCGUCACAGGGACAUGUCUCUCUUCAUGUUCCGUCGAGUCCCUCCGGUCUAUCCUUAGUGAGACGACCCGACCACCGUACUCGGAAGAUGACUGUGUGGGGUCCUACGUCGACGACGGCACUCCUACUUACUGAAGGUGUAUCCUACCAAUCAUUGUUAUGAUAAUACAUGAGGAUUCUUCUCAAAUGUCAUCAUGACCGUGACGGAGGAAGUAGUAUACUCUGUCCAAGUACGUAGGCAACCACAUGCCUCUGAUGGGAGGCCACUACUCCUCGUCCCAUCCGGCAGCUAACGGCCGAGAUGGCCGCGGCCUCAGCCUCUUCCACGCACCUAGUAAGCUGAAGUAGCCGAAGUUGGUGAUGGAGUAGUACGCACGCGCUAGCUAGCUGUGGUCAAGGCCGGUCCCUGGGUCCCUGAUGAUGCACCUACGUCGGCAGCUUUUAGGUCGUCGUCUGUAUUGGUGCCCGCUCCAACUCUGGCGGGGCACCAGGGACUCCUUCGACGACCUCGUGGACUUUGAGUUGAUGCCCUUGGGGUGACACACCUAGGUGCUUUUACCCAUGCGUCUGCGGGGGCCGUGGGCCUCGUUCCGGCUCCUCCUCCUCCUGCUGCUCCUGUCUCACCUCAAGGACGUUCUAAUGUACCUCUGGGACAUGGACAGGUAUGCCUUGCCCAGCUUGCGCGCCCCUAUGAAGCACACCAGCAAGGACCUGCACAAGCUCAAGGAGAAGCCGAUGGCCGACGCGAAGCCGGACACGCCGCAGCUGUACCCGCUACGCCGCUCCUGCUCCAUGGACUCCUCGAGGCGGGCGACCAUGAGGCCGAAGGAGCGGCCGCCGCUCGAGGCCGGCCGACGAGCCGGGGUCUUCAGGAUGCAGGUUACUCUUUUGUUCUCUGAGAGUGUACACAGAGAGGUCAGAGGUGCACAAACAAAAGGAGCUCGACGAGACGCGCUGCUUUUAUGGACAUGGCCCAAGGGCACGUUGCUAUGUUCCUCUUAUUCUUAUGCAAAACAUCAGAACAACUUUUUAAUAAUAUUCCCCGACUGAUAGAAGGUUUGCUGACUAAAAAAAGUCAAAGUCAACCGGCACGGUGCACGGUGGGAAGAGG
rnacentral:rRNA from 1 species